AUUCUACUGGUACUUCUUGCAGCUGUUGGAAACAAAACAUAAUAAUAAUGAUAGAAGAAAUGCAACAAUGUCUUUGAUGACUUGAUUCAAUGGUGGAAGUAAGAGAAUUACUUUCUACUACAGAGUGUUUUAGAUUAAAUAUUGAAUUAAAUUCAUACUAUUAAUGCUGAUUCAUAGGUUGGAAAUGAAAUGUAUGAGUAAAUUGUCUCAGCAAACUAUUUAAUUCAGCAGUUAGCUCACAAACAAUGUUUUAAAAAAAAUAUAUGCAUCCAUCAUAAUUUCUCAAAAUAAUAAAAAUGCCAUUAAAUGUUUGAUCCACAACUUUGGCUUACCUUUCUCUCACAAGGAUAGUGUUCA